CGUUUGGCAGCAGAAAACAAAAAAAAUCAGGCGAGCCAACCUUACCAGCUUGAGGCCAGAAAACUUCCUCUUUCAUUCAACGUGUGUCCAGUGGUGAAGACGUUCUUUUCGUCCCUUCACUACCAAAACCCAAAAUGAGAGCUAAGUGGCGUAAGAAGCGUAUGCGAAGGCUGAAGCGUAAGCGCAGGAAGAUGCGUGCGAGGUCCAAGUAAAUUACUGGAUUCCCAGCGUCGUCUAUCCCUCGGUAACUAAGGAUAAGGACCCAACAUUGAAUAAAAACAGCCCAACCAUUGUCCUGUCGGUUGAAAACGCGUGGAGUCCGGCUGCCGACCGGAGGAAUUGGGAGUCCUCUUCCGCUGGUGGCGCCUUCGUGAAGCCGGUUUCCCAUCGUGUGCAUGCGGAGUGACGUGUGUUCAAUUGGACCUUUUAAAACGGUGAAAAUAUAAUGCCGCUACCCGGAUGCUAAAUCGGUGAUGCGAUUGAUGCUGAUGGGCAAUGAUGGGAGAAAAUUUAAGCAAAA